GUGGGGAAUAUUGCACAAUGGGCGCAAGCCUGAUGCAGCCAUGCCGCGUGUGUGAAGAAGGCCUUCGGGUUGUAAAGCACUUUCAGCGGGGAGGAAGGCGUUAAGGUUAAUAACCUUGGCGAUUGACGUUACCCGCAGAAGAAGCACCGGCUAACUCCGUGCCAGCAGCCGCGGUAAUACGGAGGGUGCAAGCGUUAAUCGGAAUUACUGGGCGUAAAGCGCACGCAGGCGGUCUGUCAAGUCGGAUGUGAAAUCCCCGGGCUCAACCUGGGAACUGCAUUCGAAACUGGCAGGCUAGAGUCUUGUAGAGGGGGGUAGAAUUCCAGGUGUAGCGGUGAAAUGCGUAGAGAUCUGGAGGAAUACCGGUGGCGAAGGCGGCCCCCUGGACAAAGACUGACGCUCAGGUGCGAAAGCGUGGGGAGCAAACAGGAUUAGAUACCCGGGUAGUCC
rnacentral:rRNA from 1 species